rnacentral:rRNA from 1 species
AGGCUUUGAUCCUGGCUCAGGAUGAACGCUGGCGGCGUGCCUAACACAUGCAAGUCGAGCGAUUCUCUUCGGAGAAGAGCGGCGGACGGGUGAGUAACGCGUGGGUAACCUGCCCUGUACACACGGAUAACAUACCGAAAGGUAUGCUAAUACGGGAUAACAUAUUUUGAUGGCAUCAUCGAAAUAUCAAAGCUCUGGCGGUACAGGAUGGACCCGCGUCUGAUUAGCUAGUUGGUGAGGUAAUGGCUCACCAAGGCGACGAUCAGUAGCCGACCUGAGAGGGUGAUCGGCCACAUUGGAACUGAGACACGGUCCAAACUCCUACGGGAGGCAGCAGUGGGGAAUAUUGCACAAUGGGCGAAAGCCUGAUGCAGCAACGCCGCGUGAGCGAUGAAGGCCUUCGGGUCGUAAAGCUCUGUCCUCAAGGAAGAUAAGACGGUACUGUAGGAGGAAGCCCCGGCGA